UUGACAUAAAGAAAUAAAAGAAAUAAAAGAAAUAAUAGUUGAGGACAGAAAUGUU
rnacentral:ribozyme from 1 species